CUGGAAGGCAUGGAGCAGGCCUGUCAUCAACUGUGAGAUGACGGGAUGGACAGAGGAUUGGAUGCACCUGGGAUUGGAUGGACAGAUGAUGGGAUUGACUGAGAAUUGAAUGGACGGAGGAUUGGAUGUUAUGAAUAUUUAUAAAUAACAGUCAUACAACAGCAACAGCAGCAAACGCUUUAAGUGACACUGCAAAACUGCAGAAACAAGUUACAUUCCAGUGUGCAUAACAACCUUGGACAGAGGUUUGGAUGGACAGAUGAUGGGAUGGACAGAGGUUUGGAUGGACAGAUGAUGGGAUGGACAGAGGUUUGGAUGGGCAGAUGAUGGGAUGGACAGAGGAUUGGAUGUUACGAAUAUUAAUAAAUAACAGUCACCCAAGUGCGUGUGUGCAUAUAUACAUGUACAUUGUUCCAAUACUCAGCUUCAGUGGGACCUGUAAUUAGUAAAGGUAUCAUACAGCUCCUCAGAAUUCUUUGAGAAAUAGCUGGUCAGUUUUCUACCCCAUAUACCAAUCUGUUCGUUUGAAACAGGCCCUUUUGGGUGUUAAUGACUACAUAAGGCAUGAGUUAGAUGAAAAAUGUUGCCCCUACUAGGGUAGUAAAUAAAUCCUGUGUUUUUGGCAGUAGGUAAUUUUCCACCUCUAGCCAUGGGUUGAUCAAUACCUUAU